rnacentral:rRNA from 1 species
UUCGCAAUGCCCGAAAGGGUGACGAUGCGACGCCGCGUGAGCGAAGAAGGCCCUAGGGUUGUAAAGCUCUGUCGAGGGUUAUGAAAUAUAGAUGGGUUAAUACCCCAUUUAUUUGACAAAAGCCCAAAAGGAAGCCACGGCUAACUCUGUGCCAGCAGCCGCGGUAAUACAGAGGUGGCGAGCGUUGUUCGGUAUUAUUGGGCGUAAAGAGCACGUAGGUGGUUUUGUAAGUCAGGUGUGAAAGCCUUCUGUUCAAAGGAAGAACGGCAUCUGAAACUGCAGAUCUUGAGUGUAGGAGGGGAGAGUGGAACUUCUGGUGGAGCGGUGAAAUGCGUAGAUAUCAGAAGGAACGUCGGCGGCGAAAGCGACUCUCUGGCCUAUUACUGACGCUGAGGUGCGAAAGUUAGGGGAGCAAACGGGAUUAGAUACCCCGGUAGUCCUAACCGUAAACGGUGGGCACUAAGUAGAGGGGUUUU